rnacentral:tRNA from 3 species
GACCCCGUCGUUCAGUGGUUAGGACACCGGGUUUUCAACCCGGCAACGGGGGUUCGACUCCCCUCGGGGUCACCA